rnacentral:rRNA from 1 species
AACCAGCACCUCAAGUGGUCAGGAUGAUUAUUGGGCCUAAAGCAUCCGUAGCCGGCUCUGUUAGUUUUCGGUUAAAUCUAUGUGCUCAACGCAUGGGCUGCCGAAAAUACUGCAGAGCUAGGGAGUGGGAGAGGUAGACGGUACUCAGUAGGAAGGGGUAAAAUCCUUUGAUCUAUUGAUGACCACCUGUGGCGAAGGCGGUCUACCAGAACACGUUCGACGGUGAGGGAUGAAAGCUGGGGGAGCAAACCGG